rnacentral:rRNA from 2 species
UAGGGAAUCUUCGGCAAUGGACGAAAGUCUGACCGAGCAACGCCGCGUGAGUGAAGAAGGUUUUCGGAUCGUAAAGCUCUGUUGUAAGUCAAGAACGUGUGUGAGAGUGGAAAGUUCACACAGUGACGGUAGCUUACCAGAAAGGGACGGCUAACUACGUGCCAGCAGCCGCGGUAAUACGUAGGUCCCGAGCGUUGUCCGGAUUUAUUGGGCGUAAAGGGAGCGCAGGCGGUCAGGAAAGUCUGGAGUAAAAGGCUAUGGCUCAACCAUAGUGUGCUCUGGAAACUGUCUGACUUGAGUGCAGAAGGGGAGAGUGGAAUUCCAUGUGUAGCGGUGAAAUGCGUAGAUAUAUGGAGGAACACCAGUGGCGAAAGCGGCUCUCUGGUCUGUCACUGACGCUGAGGCUCGAAAGCGUGGGUAGCGAACA